AGACUCAUCCGCGCCUCGCGUGCGUCCACCCGCAUUCCUCUGGUGCAUGCUAUGGACACACCACAGCUUGUUUGUCCAUUCAGCCGCUGAUGGACGUUUGGGCAGCUUCCAGUUUUUCGACCACGAUGGAAAACAAAGCGGGUGGUUUUGACGGCUCUGAGUCCCCUGCAUUUCCACCGGAGCUGUGGAGCUAGGCGUGGAAACCUGCCGGGAUUUUGACCGGGAUCGCAUCGCAUCUACAGACUAAGGCGAGGGAGAAUCGAUGUCCUCACGGUCUUGGUCGAAUCUCCCAACCCAUGAAUACCCUCUGGCCGGACAGCCGGGUGACGGGGAGCAGAGCGUGCGUCCCGGAGACGUGCCUCUCCGGGGAUAUCGAUUGUUCGAAGCUAAUAAACGGGAAAGAACGGCAGCCGUGGGGAAUCCCCGAGAACCAAGGGGAGUCCCCCGCUGUGAUCCGGCGUUUACGUCUUGGGGGGGACCUCCGCUCCAGAGGGGUCUCCCUCGGGGACCGGGAAGGGCAGGGUGCCUGCCCCACACGCAUCUGAGGACCCCGUGUCCUGCGCUCCGGAGCCGCCCCCAGCCCCCCGACAUCGUCUCCGGCCCUCAGCUGCACGUGGCGGUUACCGGGGUGGCCUCUGCCGUCUCGGGGAGUCGCUCAGAGGUCCCCGCCCGUCCUGCGUGAGCAGGAGGUGUGCCCCGUGCCUACACGUGGACCUGCUCUCCUGCUAACCUGCCUCGUGUGGGUUCGAUGAUUGACGUGGCUGGAGAACCUGGGCGGACAGAGGAGAAGCUUCCCCCCGACAGUGACCGUGAAGGGGAGGCCUGACCAUCCGGCCCUGCCCUCGAUUUUAAAGUGAACCUCCUAACGGUUCCGUUACGUGCGCGCCGUAGGUUUGCCUUCCCGAGGCCGAGGAGCUGUGUGGUUU